rnacentral:rRNA from 1 species
UCGGAGAUGGAUGAGCCCGCGUUGGAUUAGCUAGUUGGUGGGGUAAUGGCUCACCAAGGCGACGAUCCAUAGCUGGUCUGAGAGGAUGAUCAGCCACACUGGGACUGAGACACGGCCCAG